rnacentral:rRNA from 1 species
GACGAACGCUGGCGGCGCGCCUAACACAUGCAAGUCGAACGAGCGAGAGAGAGCUUGCUUUCUUGAGCGAGUGGCGAACGGGUGAGUAACGCGUGAGGAACCUGCCUCAAAGAGGGGGACAACAGUUGGAAACGACUGCUAAUACCGCAUAAGCCCACGGUGCCGCAUGGCACAGAGGGAAAAGGAGCAAUCCGCUUUGAGAUGGCCUCGCGUCCGAUUAGCUAGUUGGUGAGGUAACGGCCCACCAAGGCGACGAUCGGUAGCCGGACUGAGAGGUUGAACGGCCACAUUGGGACUGAGACACGGCCCAGACUCCUACGGGAGGCAGCAGUGGGGAAUAUUGCACAAUGGGGGAAACACUGAUGCAGCGACGCCGCGUGGAGGAAGAAGGUCUUCGGAUUGUAAACUCCUGUUGUUGGGGAAGAUAAUGACGGUACCCAACAAGGAAGUGACGGCUAACUACGUG